rnacentral:rRNA from 1 species
CCUGGCUCAGGAUGAACGCUAGCGGCAGGCCUAACACAUGCAAGUCGAGGGGUAACAGGGAAGCUUGCUUCCGCUGACGACCGGCGCACGGGUGAGUAACGCGUAUACAACCUGCCUAUCACACAGGAAUAGCCCUUGGAAACGAGGAUUAAUGCCUGAUGGUUUUGUAAAACCGCAUGGUUUAACAAAUAAAGAUUUAUCGGUGGUAGAUGGGUAUGCGUAAUAUUAGCUAGUUGGUAAGGUAACGGCUUACCAAGGCGACGAUAUUUAGGGGGUCUUAAAGGAUGAUCCUCCACACUGGUACUGAGACACGGACCAGACUCCUACGGGAGGCAGCAGUGAGGAAUAUUGGUCAAUGGACGCAAGUCUGAACCAGCCAUGCCGCGUGAGGGACUACGGUUCUAUGGAUUGUAAACCUCUUUUCUACAGGAAGAAUAAGGAUCUCGUGAGGUCUGAUGACUGUACUGUAGGAAUAAGCACCGGCUAACUCCGUGCCAGCAGCCGCGGUAAUACGGAGGGUGCAAGCGUUAUCCGGAUUUAUUAGGUUUAAAGGCUACGUAGGCGGGAGCAUAAGUCAGUGGUGAAAUCUCGAAGCUCAACUUCGAAACUGCCAUUGAAACUGUGUUUCUUGAAUUCAGUUGAGGUGACUAGAAUAUGUAGAGUAGCGGUGAAAUGCAUAGAUACUACAUAGAAUACCGAUUGCGAAGGCAGGUCACUAAGCUUGGAUUGACGCUAAUGUAGGAAAGCGUGGGUAGCGAACAGGAUUAGAUACCCUGGUAGUCCACGCCGUAAACGAUGCUUACUGGUUAUUGGCAUCUAAUGUCAGUGACUGAGGGAAACCAUUAAGUAAGCCACCUGGGGAGUACGUUCGCAAGAAUGAAACUCAAAGGAAUUGACGGGGGCCCGCACAAGCGGAGGAACAUGUGGUUUAAUUCGAUGAUACGCGAGGAACCUUACCAGAGCUUAAAUGUAGAUUGAUCGGCGUGGAGGCACGUUUUUCCUUCGGGACAAUUUACAAGGUGCUGCAUGGUUGUCGUCAGCUCGUGCCGUGAGGUGUCGGGUUAAGUCCCAUAACGAGCGCAACCCCUAUCGUUAGUUGCUAACAGGUGAUGCUGAGGACUCUAGCGAGACUGCCGGUGUAAACCGUGAGGAAGGUGGGGAUGACGUCAAAUCAGCACGGCCCUUAUGUUCUGGGCUACACACGUGUUACAAUGGAUGGUACAAAGAGCAGCUACCUAGUGAUAGGAUGCGAAUCUUCAAAGCCAUUCUCAGUUCGGAUUGGAGUCUGCAACUCGACUCCAUGAAGUUGGAUUCGCUAGUAAUCGUAGAUCAGCAACGCUACGGUGAAUACGUUCCCGGGCCUUGUACACACCGCCCGUCAAACCAUGGAAGUCGGAAGUGCCUGAAGACUGUUGCCGUAAGGGACGGUUUAGGGUAAAGCUGAUAACUGGGGCUAAGUCGUAACA